rnacentral:rRNA from 1 species
GCAUAAUUUUUUGUGGUGCAUUUACUUGAUUGGUGCUUGGGGAUGUUUGAGGCAGAUUUGUUUCCGUCGUUUUGAGGCCAGCUUGCUGGUACCCAAACGGUGUUAGCAUUUUUUGUCUUGGACAUUUGAGUAUGGCUCACGUGUAUUUAUUGGACAGAUCUGAGUGUAAGUUACGGUCGCAUGCGACACGUGCUUUUCAAUUAGUUCGGUCCAGUUAAUGCUCUCGUACUCGUUCCCCAUGUAAAAGCCGGUCAUCUAUCCGACCCGUCUUGAAACACGGACCAAGGAGUUUAUCGUGUGCGCAAGUUUUUGGGUGUUAAAAACUUAAAAGCGAAAUGAAAGUAAAUGACUCUUUAGAGUCUGAUGUGCGAUCUUGUAAAAAAGUGUAGCAUGGCCCCAUUCUAACUGUUUACAGUAGGGUGGCGGAAGAGCGUACGCGGUGAGACCCGAAAGAUGGUGAACUAUUCCUGAGCAGGACGAAGCCAGAGGAAACUCUGGUGGAAGUCCGAAGCGGUUCUGACGUGCAAAUCGAUCGUCUGACUUGGGUAUAGGGGCGAAAGACUAAUCGAACCAUCUAGUAGC